GGGCUGGUGCUUCCCACCCACCCGCUAGAAGCCACGCCUUUGGCGCGAAAGUUCCCUUGAGUCUGGCUGUGGAGUGUGAAGGGUAGGAAAGGGGAACGCGCUCUGCACAUUCUCAGAGGCGCUCUCUUCCGCUUGGCAAAACAUUUUCAGGGACUGAAGGGAGACGGUGAGCGUUUUUCCUAACGCGCGGGAGGCGAGGAGAGAGAGCCAGUGGUUUCAACAUAACUCUCCGCUUCCAGACUUUCCAUCCAGGUGUGCUUCCUUACAGUUCAAUAGAUAAAUUGACCACAAACUUCCCACCCUUUCCUCGAGCACCCAGCCAGCAGGUCUCGCUCAUGGUCCGUCCGCGACAGGUAGCCGAACCUCGUUCCUUCACCAUUGCUUUUACAGGUGCCAAAACAUCUUUGGAAUAAGUGAGGCUUCUUUUGACCCUCGUGUGUUUUAUACCUCCGGUGUCUACCACUUUGGGCGUUUCUUCUGGAAAAAACAAGCAGAUUCAAGGCUCAGAGUUGGGUUUGAUUAAGUACCCGCUGAAAAUAACGUAUGUAUCGUAUUCAUCGCUGAAGACGGCAUUGUCGCGCUCACCCUUGAAG